rnacentral:rRNA from 1 species
UCCCCUAGUAACUGCGAGUGAAGCGGGAAAAGCUCAAAUUUAAAAUCUGGCGGUCUUUGGCCGUCCGAGUUGUAGUCUGGAGAAGUGCUUUCCGCGCUGGACCGUGUAUAAGUCUCUUGGAACAGAGCGUCGUAGAGGGUGAGAAUCCCGUCUUUGACACGGACUACCAGUGCUUUGUGAUGCGCUCUCAAAGAGUCGAGUUGUUUGGGAAUGCAGCUCAAAAUGGGUGGUGAAUUCCAUCUAAAGCUAAAUAUUGGCGAGAGACCGAUAGCGAACAAGUACCGUGAGGGAAAGAUGAAAAGCACUUUGGAAAGAGAGUUAAACAGUACGUGAAAUUGCUGAAAGGGAAACGCUUGAAGUCAGUCGCGUCGUUCGGAACUCAGCCUUGCUUUUGCUUGGUGCACUUUCCGGAUGACGGGUCAGCAUCGAUUUUGACCGUCGGAUAAGGGCUGGAGUAAUGUGGCACCUGCGGGUGUGUUAUAGACUCUGGUCGCAUACGGCGGUUGGGAUCGAGGAACGCAGCGCGCCGCAAGGCAGGGGUUCGCCCACUUUCGCGCUUAGGAUGCUGGCAUAAUGGCUUUAAGCGACCCGUCUUGAAACACGGACCAAGGAGUCUAACAUACCUGCGAGUGUUUGGGUGGAAAACCCGAGCGCGUAAUGAAAGUGAAAGUUGAGACCCCUGUCGUGGGGGGCAUCGACGCCCGGACCUGACGUUCUCUGACGGAUCCGCGGUAGAGCAUGUGUGUUGGGACCCGAAAGAUGGUGAACUAUGCCUGAAUAGGGUGAAGCCAGAGGAAACUCUGGUGGAGGCUCGUAGCGAUUCUGACGUGCAAAUCGAUCGUCAAAUUU